AGAGUUUGAUCCUGGUCAGAACGAACGCUGGCGGCAGGCCUAACACAUGCAAGUCGAGCGGUAGCACAGAGAGCUUGCUCUCGGGUGACGAGCGGCGGACGGGUGAGUAAUGUCUGGGAAACUGCCUGAUGGAGGGGGAUAACUACUGGAAACGGUAGCUAAUACCGCAUAACGUCGCAAGACCAAAGUGGGGGACCUUCGGGCCUCAUGCCAUCAGAUGUGCCCAGAUGGGAUUAGCUGGUAGGUGGGGUAACGGCUCACCUAGGCGACGAUCCCUAGCUGGUCUGAGAGGAUGACCAGCCACACUGGAACUGAGACACGGUCCAGACUCCUACGGGAGGCAGCAGUGGGGAAUAUUGCACAAUGGGCGCAAGCCUGAUGCAGCCAUGCCGCGUGUGUGAAGAAGGCCUUCGGGUUGUAAAGCACUUUCAGCGGGGAGGAAGGCGGUGAGGUUAAUAACCUCAUCGAUUGACGUUACCCGCAGAAGAAGCACCGGCUAACUCCGUGCCAGCAGCCGCGGUAAUACGGAGGGUGCAAGCGUUAAUCGGAAUUACUGGGCGUAAAGCGCACGCAGGCGGUCUGUCAAGUCGGAUGUGAAAUCCCCGGGCUCAACCUGGGAACUGCAUUCGAAACUGGCAGGCUAGAGUCUUGUAGAGGGGGGUAGAAUUCCAGGUGUAGCGGUGAAAUGCGUAGAGAUCUGGAGGAAUACCGGUGGCGAAGGCGGCCCCCUGGACAAAGACUGACGCUCAGGUGCGAAAGCGUGGGGAGCAAACAGGAUUAGAUACACUGGUAGUCCACGCUGUAAACGAUGUCGAUUUGGAGGUUGUGCCCUUGAGGCGUGGCUUCCGGAGCUAACGCGUUAAAUCGACCGCCUGGGGAGUACGGCCGCAAGGUUAAAACUCAAAUGAAUUGACGGGGGCCCGCACAAGCGGUGGAGCAUGUGGUUUAAUUCGAUGCAACGCGAAGAACCUUACCUGGUCUUGACAUCCACAGAACUUAGCAGAGAUGCUUUGGUGCCUUCGGGAACUGUGAGACAGGUGCUGCAUGGCUGUCGUCAGCUCGUGUUGUGAAAUGUUGGGUUAAGUCCCGCAACGAGCGCAACCCUUAUCCUUUGUUGCCAGCGGUCCGGCCGGGAACUCAAAGGAGACUGCCAGUGAUAAACUGGAGGAAGGUGGGGAUGACGUCAAGUCAUCAUGGCCCUUACGACCAGGGCUACACACGUGCUACAAUGGCAUAUACAAAGAGAAGCGACCUCGCGAGAGCAAGCGGACCUCAUAAAGUAUGUCGUAGUCCGGAUUGGAGUCUGCAACUCGACUCCAUGAAGUCGGAAUCGCUAGUAAUCGUAGAUCAGAAUGCUACGGUGAAUACGUUCCCGGGCCUUGUACACACCGCCCGUCACACCAUGGGAGUGGGUUGCAAAAGAAGUAGGUAGCUUAACCUUCGGGAGGGCGCUUACCACUUUGUGAUUCAUGACUGGGGUGAAGUCGUAACAAGGUAGCCGUAG
rnacentral:rRNA from 1 species